rnacentral:tRNA from 1 species
GUAUAGAAAGCGAGAAGUUUGCAUCUGGCUUCGGACCAGACUUUGGGGGGUGGAAGUCCCUUUCUAUAUU